UACGUAGGGUGCGAGCGUUGUCCGGAAUUAUUGGGCGUAAAGAGCUCGUAGGCGGUGUGUUGCGUCGGUCGUGAAAACUUGGGGCUUAACCCUGAGCUUGCGGUCGAUACGGGCAUCACUGGAGUUCGGCAGGGGAGACUGGAAUUCCUGGUGUAGCGGUGAAAUGCGCAGAUAUCAGGAGGAACACCGGUGGCGAAGGCGGGUCUCUGGGCCGAUACUGACGCUGAGGAGCGAAAGCGUGGGGAGCGAACAGG
rnacentral:rRNA from 1 species